rnacentral:tRNA from 1 species
GCCACGGUGGUCUAGCUGUUAGAAUACUGGCCUUGUAAUCCUGGGGUCUCGGGUUCGAUUCCCGGCGGUGCCC